GUGACGGCGUGCCUUUUGCAUAAUGAGCCUACGAGUUACCGUUGCUGGCAAGGAUAAGUGAUUAAGUCAUGGAUCCGUAGCGAAAGCGAGUCUUAAUAGGGCGCUUAAGUCAGUAGUGGUAGACGCGAAACCGUGUGAUCUACCCAUGGGCAGGUUGAAGUUUAGGUAACACUAAAUGGAGGACCGAACCGUUUAACGCUGAAAAGUUUUCGGAUGACCUGUGGGUAGGGGUGAAAGGCCAAUCAAACUCGGAAAUAGCUCGUACUCCCCGAAAUGCAUUUAGGUGCAGCGAUGAUCGAUAGUUACUUAGAGGUAGAGCUACUGAUUGGAUGCGGGGGCUUCACCGCCUACCAAUUCCUGACAAACUCCGAAUGCUAAGUAAUGAUAAUCAUCAGUGAGGGCAUGGGUGCUAAGGUCCAUGUCCGAGAGGGAAAGAACCCAGACCAUCAGCUAAGGUCCCCAAAUGUAUGCUAAGUUGAAAAAACGCGGUUUGAUUGCCCAGACAGCUAGGAUGUUGGCUUGGAAGCAGCCAUUCAUUUAAAGAGUGCGUAACAGCUCACUAGUCGAGCGAUCGAGCAUGGAUAAUAAUCGGGCAUAAGUAUACUACCGAAGCUAUGGAUUUGCGCAUUUAGUUGCGUGAGUGGUAGGGGAGCAUUCUAACGGCGCAGAAGGUGAUUUGUGAGAAUUGCUGGAGCUUUUAGAAAAGAAAAUGUAGGCAUAAGUAACGAUAAGGGGUGCGAGAAACACCCCCGCCGUAAGACUAAGGUUUCCUCAGCUAUGCUAAUCAGCUGAGGGUUAGUCGGGACCUAAGGCACACCCGAAGGGGGACGUCGAUGGCCAACGGGUUAAUAUUCCCGUACUACUGAUAAUUGUGAUGGAGUGACACAGUGAUGAAAGCACCGCGAACUGACGGAAUAGUUCGUUGAAGCACGUACCUAUAGGUUUGAUAGUAAAAUGCGUCAGACUUGGAGAAAUGCGAUAGUACUUUGAGUCUUCGGACAACGAGAUAGUGUGCCUAAGGGCUGUCAAGAAAAGCUUCUAAACUUAGAUUAUUAGUACCCGUACCGUAAACCGACACAGGUAGUCGAGGAGAGUAUCCUAAGGCGCUCGAGAGAUUCAUGGCUAAGGAACUAGGCAAAAUAGACCUGUAACUUCGGGAGAAAGGUCGCCAGCGCAAGCUGGCCGCAGUGAAAAGGUCCAGGCGACUGUUUAUCAAAAACACAGGGCUCUGCAAAAUCGUAAGAUGACGUAUAGGGCCUGACACCUGCCCGGUGCUGGAAGGUUAAGAGGAGAUGUUAUC
rnacentral:rRNA from 1 species